GCUGUAGUUCCGGAAGUACUAAUGGGAAAGACCUUUGCAAGGGAGCGGCUAUUGCCUAAGUACCCAGCAGGGGCACCCGAGGCACCUGAAGGUGACUGCUAAGGAAGUACCUGGUCUGCAGAAAUGGUUACCGAGGAGGGAAGAAUCCACCAUCAAGAAAAGCUCAAGUACACCAACCUUGGACAGCCGGUAAAGUAAUGCGUGAUCGGGUUGAAAGAAGGCUGUCACCCAGGAGGAGCAUGGAGUACAGGACCAGGCAUGAAUGCCAGAGAUGCUGGCUUUGAGCAGAGAAGACCACUCCCUGGCAUCAGGACCAAAAGCAGAGCUCUCGGUCAGUGGUUAAUAUCCUUCCUCCCAGCCUCCCCAGAGCAUGGGUAUGGAAUCUAGCAAUUCUUCAGGUUCCAGCUAAGCUGCACGAAGGUGUUACAAAAGGCCAUUUCUUCUCCUUGGAGGAGAGCCAAAAGGAAAAGUGACACACACAGCCUUCAUCCUGGAGUCAAUGAAAUCAUAGCUCACAUGAGCCUGCAAAA